rnacentral:rRNA from 1 species
UCCAACAUAAAAGGUGGCUUCGGCUACCACUUCCAAGAUGGACCCGCGGCGCAUUAGCUAGUUGGUGAGGUAAUGGCUCACCAAAGGCGACGAUGCGUAGCCGACCUGAGAGGGUGAUCGGCCACACUGGGACUGAGACACGGCCCAGACUCCUACGGGAGGCAGCAGUAGGGAAUCUUCCGCAAUGGACGAAAGUCUGACGGAGCAACGCCGCGUGAGUGAUGAAGGUUUUCGGAUCGUAAAGCUCUGUUGUUAGGGAAGAACA